GCCCGGCUAGCUCAAUCGGUAGAGCGUGAGACUCUUAAUAACGAUCAAGAGUGAUCCUCAUCGAACCAAGACCAUCUCAAGGUUGUGGGUUCGACCCCCACGUCGGGCU